CAAACCGGCAUAUAAACUUAGGUCAUAUUUCACAAAACACAAAGACAAAACAGCAUCAAAACAAACAAAAAAUGCUAUAUACAUGAUACCUUGCAGAGACUGUCCACAACGAUACAUAGGUCAAACCUCGGGGAAAAUUGAAACACGAAUAACUGAACACAAAAACGCCAUAAAACGAUACGAUUAUAAAUCACUACUUGUAGCACACACAUACGACAACUGCCAUACCUUCAACUGGACAGAAACCGAACUAUUAGG